rnacentral:rRNA from 1 species
UGGGGAAUAUUGCACAAUGGACGGAAGUUUGAUGCAGCGACGCCGCGUGGAGGGUGUAGGCCUUCGGGUUGUGAACUCCUUUUUCUCGCGAAAAAGGCACAGUUUUGGCUGUGUUGAUGGUAGUGGGGGAAGAAGCGCCGGCUAACUACGUGCCAGCAGCCGCGGUAAUACGUAGGGCGCGAGCGUUGUCCGGAUUUAUUGGGCGUAAAGAGCUCGUAGGUGGUUCGUCGCGUCUGUCGUGAAAGCCAGCAGCUUAACUGUUGGUCUGCGGUGGGUACGGGCGGGCUUGAGUGCGGUAGUGGUGACUGGAAUUCCUGGUGUAGCGGUGGAAUGCGCAGAUAUCAGGAGGAACACCGAUGGCGAAGGCAGGUCACUGAGCCGUUACUGACACUGAGGAGCGCAAGCGUGGGGAGCGAACAGG